rnacentral:tmRNA from 1 species
GGGGAUGCAUUGCAUCGACAAGAUCAGUACUUUAAUAAUUGCAAGCCGUCCACGAUUAAAAGACGUAAAAUUUGAUCAAAAAUAAAUGUUUCAAAAACAUUUAACGCUAUAGGGAGAGCUUUCUCUCCUUCUAGUGCUCAACCAGCUUUAGCAUACGCUUAAGCUCUUGAGCUGUUCACUAUGUCCUUCUCUCAGUGAGGCAUUUUGAGCAUAAAAUCAGCUGGGAAAACUGUAAAGAAGCUGGUUAGCUCUUUAUUGUAAUUAUAACCUCGGCUCUAUUUAUGGAUGUUAAUUUUCAAAGAAUAGAGUGAUCAAAAUAAUAAUUAACUAAGCUUGUAGAUAUUUUAAAUUGCAUUUCUUGCACUCGGGAUCACUUCCCGACAUCUCCACAA